UCUUCGUCGAGCCUCGAGCAAGGCAACACGUAGCCACCUCUAGCUCCUAACCAUCCCCUAACUCGUGAAACUUUCAAACUUCUUUCCAUUUUUGAAAUUCAUUCUAAAAAUUAUUCCUACUGGAAUUUUAAAUUCCAAUUCUUUUUUUCGGAGUGUUUGGAAUAGAAUCUUCUUGUGAUUGUGUGUCCAGGAUGAAAAAAACUACGAAUAACCUCUAUUAUAUAUACGAGAAGUACGAGAUCGAAAAGAGGAAUAGACGAUUUGAAAAGGACUUUAAGAAGCACAACUGGCUGCUGCAGAAAUUCAACAACGUUGACAAGGAGAACAACCCGGUGGACCAACCGUUGGAGAAUGACAAGCAAGCUUACCAGGGCAACAACAAUCAAGAACCAAACCCUGAAUACGGAAAUCGAGAUCAAAACAAUAAUACCACCGAUGAAGUAGCUGAAGGCUUGUCUAUGCCAAAUCUGAAUUAAUUUUAAAAUUAUCCACGUUUCAUAAAUAUUCGGGUUAAGAUUUUUCAAAGUAUUAUUCUGAUUUUACUAGGAAAUUCUCCGGUUAUUCGAGUAAAAGUUCAAAAUUGAGUUCAUACCUAACUUUUUUGAAAUCUCGUACUAACUUUAGAAAUAAUCAAUAGGUAUCCAUAUAUUUAAACUACAUUUUCUCUUUGUUUCUUAUAAAGAAUAAUAUACAUAUCGUUGAGGUGACGUGGACAAUAAUUUAAUUACGAAUAUUAGUAUUUAAAAAUAUAAUAUCGAUUUUUCGACUCGUCAAGGUAGAAGGACUAAUUAGAGAAGUCGUUUUAUUUAUAAACAAGGAAAAGCCUUCUGCAGGAUAAAUUAAAAUAAAGUUUCAAAAUCGUCUGAUUCGGUUGGGCGCCAUAAAAUGGACCUUCGUCAAAAAUAUUUCGAUGAUCAUAACUUAAGACAGUAUUUUGGCCUGAACGCCGAAGAUAAUAAAACCAGCUUAGGAAGAAGCUGCCGAUGCGCUGAAAUCUUUAAGGACAUCAUAUUGCAAAUGGCACCAUCUACUAGUCGUUACAAACCAUUGGAUACCGGCCCAUCACGUCACCGAGAAGAAGAAAGGCAGGCUAUGAACAUUUUGAAGAUUAGGCCAAAGAGGCCCCCCGGCGCAUAAACACCCCUUCACAGCACCUUCGGCGUUUCCAACAAAGAAACCUAAACACUAAAAUAAAUAAAAGCUAUCUUUAAAAAGUUCAACAAAAUUAUAUUACUUUGUGUGAAAGAAAUACGUCAUCUUAAGUAGCUCCAUCAUUAUU
rnacentral:lncRNA from 1 species